CGGGAAGUAGCUCAGCUUGGUAGAGCACUUGGUUUGGGACCAAGGGGUCGUAGGUUCGAAUCCUGUCUUCCCGAUAG
rnacentral:tRNA from 2 species